AUGGCUGGUGAUAGGUUUUCGGAGAGGAAAUUUUCGGCUGAAAGGACAAAUAUUGACUUUUCAAAGCAACAAUCUUCAGAUUCCUGCUUCAUAUCCAAAAUUAUAGAUAAUGAAGGAAAGCAACCGAAGAAACAAAAUAAUGCUGAUGAAAUUUUGUAUGAAAUGAGUGCACAGCUGUCGAAAGUUUUACAAAUAUUGAAACCAUGUCAGGACAUGACUGGAAUCUUUAGGAAGUCAGCAUGUGCCUAUUCACCAAGUGACCCAUUUUUGCUGGAUAAUCAUAGCACCUCUGUUUUCAAUGCAAACCAUUCCACCCAAUGUUCUAAUAUUGACACAGAAUGUGAUACCUUGGAUGAAGUCAUAGUGAAUCUCAUAAACAGAGUCAAUAGUUAUUAUCCUCAAAAUUUUAUCAGUGACCAUAGAUGUCCCAAUGAAAAGGUCAACUCGUCUUGCAAUGAAGUCAUUCGUCUCGAAAACUUGGACGAUUACGGCAGUCAUCUUCACCUGACUAGUUUUCAACCGAAUAGGAGAACCAGUGGCCAAGAAGAAUUAGAGAGAAUUGAAAGGACUGUUGAAGAUAUGCUCGCCCAGGUUCAAUUGCAGGAAGAAUUUCUGGCAAGAGAUGAAGAGAAUCUAUCCUCUCAUAGGAACCUUUUGAGAAAUAAUGAAAUUUUUCAUUACUUUAGGCACCGCCAACCUUCCCCGGAUGCAGAGCUCCAACUUCUUGAAAAUAAAACUCCAUCUUGUAGAACUCGUUUCUUUGAUCAUAGCAUGCCACGAAGUUUAAAGAAGUAUGAAACCAAAGUCGGUCUGAAUUCUGACUGGAAAAAGGCGAACCCAAUAUUAAUCAGACAUGCUGAGAUCCAGGAAAACCGCAACUGCCCCCGAAUUAGAAAUUAUUCUGAGAAGACAUCAUUGAAAAACAGUGAAGUUUGUGAACCUAAAUUGUCUUAUAAUCUUAGACCGGAAACUUAUCUUUUCCGCAGUAUUUGGUAUGAAACCGAGCAGAGAAAAUAUAAGGAGCAUGAAAAUUUGUACUCAGAUUCAGAAUCUGCUGCUUCAGAUUGCCGAUUACACAAAAGCACGUUCCCGGAGAACGCAUACUCCUCUUCAGAGGCAAUUGACUUCAGUCUCAGUGAUUCAAGUCAAGGAGAUGAUGCUGAUUUAUCAAGUUUCGCUGAUAACAACGAAAGAAGGUACAAUCAAAUAAUGGCAAACAGAGAAAAUUGGAACCCACAGCAGGAUUCUCAGAAAUUUACUGCGUUGCCUACCAAUGUUGAAGGAAUUUCAGAGCAAAAUAAUUUGCAUUUAAUGUGCAGGAGUAAUUCCUUUUCUUCGUCUUCUUCUCUCUACGGUCGAGCAUCUCCAACAGCCGUUGAUAAUAUUAUGGGAGAUACGUAUCCUUUGAUGAUAUAA
rnacentral:lncRNA from 1 species